rnacentral:tRNA from 1 species
GCCGAUGUAGCUCAACGGUAGAGCAACUGACUUGUAAUCAGUAGGUUGCCAGUUCGAUUCUGGCCAUCGGCU